rnacentral:rRNA from 1 species
UGUACCUACGGGACGCAGCAGUAGGGAAUUUUCCACAAUGGGCGAAAGCCUGAUGGAGCAAUCCCGCGUGAAUGAUGAAGGUCUUAUAUAGAUUGUAAAAUUCUUUUAUUGGAGACGAAUGGUAGGAAUAGGAAAUGAUUUCUAUUUGACUGUAUCCAUUGAAUAAGUAUCGGCUAACUAUGUGCCAGCAGCCGCGGAAAUACAUAGGAUGCAAGCGUUAUCCGGAUUUACCGGGCGUAAAGCGAGCGCGGGCGGAUUUGCAAGUCUGGUGUUAAAUACAACUGCUUAACGGUUGUAUGCAUUGG